rfam:Heligmosomoides polygyrus genome assembly, scaffold: HPBE_contig0011939
GCGCCGGUGGUGUAAUGGCGUAGAGCAUACCCGCCCGGUUAGAGGGAGGUGCGGGUUCGAGUCCCGCCUGGCGCU